CACGAAGUUUGAUGAAACAACGCAGUCAUUUAAAAUGAUUGCUUCUUUAUUAGGACAAGUUUUGAAGGAAGUACGCAAAGGAAAUGUUUCAUCAGACCUUUUAGAUGGUGCGGAAUAAGCAAUACAUAUGAUUAAUGAUGAUUCUGGUGGCAGUGGUGAAAAAUAGGCCGAGACAUGAGAUGUGGACACUAUUGCCAAAAGCAAGAUUAAUGAUGAUUCAAGCUAUAAUGGUGAAACUUAGAGGGAUAACAAGUUAUCUUCAAGCGCGCUAAGCUAUCAUGGCGAUAGGAUUUAUUUGCUUAAUUAGACUUAGUUAGGAAGUUGUUUUUCUUUCGUUUUUUACUAUGUUGAUCAGGGUAGACCAAAUGAUGCUAGAAAGUUGUUUUUGUAUUGCUUUUAUUUCAGUUUGAGUUGACAAUACAAAUUAAUGCGUGGAUGAUU